AAUAAAUAUUACUCAUAUGGGCACAGUAUGAAAAGAAAGUCUAUACUGUAAUUUGGGUUUGACAUUAGAACAUUAUCUGAAGGUGCCAGGAAACAAGAAGAUGAAAUAGCAAAUAAAGAAAUAAGAGUAACCAAGAGGAAAAUGGAAAAGCAGGAAUAUUUUCCUAUAAAUAAACGUCGAAAGUAAUGAAGACAUAUCGACAAUAAUAGUAUGAAAAAUGUAUACUUAAUUUUCUUCAGUCUUUUCUGUAGAACAUGUUUCCGAAACGUUGGGGAAAUAUUUUUUAUAUUGUUUUUUACUUUCAUUUUAAUUAUUUGUCAAA